CCUAACACAUGCAAGUCGAACGGACCCUUCGGGGUUAGUGGCGGACGGGUGAGUAACACGUGGGAACGUGCCUUUAUGUUCGGAAUAGCUCCUGGAAACGGGUGGUAAUGCCGAAUGUGCCCUUCGGGGGAAAGAUUUAUCGCCUUUAGAGCGGCCCGCGUCUGAUUAGCUANUUGGUGAGGUAAUGGCUCACCAAGGCGACGAUCAGUAGCUGNUCUGAGAGGAUGACCAGCCACAUUGGGACUGAGACACGGCCCAAACUCCUACGGGAGGCAGCAGUGGGGAAUCUUGCGCAAUGGGCGAAAGCCUGACGCAGCCAUGCCGCGUGGAUGAUGAAGGUCUUAGGAUUGUAAAAUCCUUUCACCGGUGAAGAUAAUGACUGUAGCCGGAGAAGAAGCCCCGGCUAACUUCGUGCCAGCAGCCGCGGUAAUACGAAGGGGGCUAGCGUUGCUCGGAAUUACUGGGCGUAAAGGGAGCGUAGGCGGACAUUUAAGUCAGGGGUGAAAUCCCGGAGCUCAACUUCGGAACUGCCUUUGAUACUGGGUGUCUUGAGUGUGAGAGAGGUAUGUGGAACUCCGAGUGUAGAGGUGAAAUUCGUAGAUAUUCGGAAGAACACCAGUGGCGAAGGCGACAUACUGGCUCAUUACUGACGCUGAGGCUCGAAAGCGUGGGGAGCAAACAGGAUUAGAUACCCUGGUAGUCCACGCCGUAAACGAUGAUUGCUAGUUGUCGGGGAGCUUGCUCUUCGGUGACGCAGCUAACGCAUUAAGCAAUCCGCCUGGGGGAGUACGGUCGCAAGAUUAAAACUCAAAGGA
rnacentral:rRNA from 1 species